rnacentral:misc_RNA from 1 species
UCGCGUCUUACGACGGCAGUUUCUCCAGAGUUCCCACCAUGACGUGCUGGUAACUGAAGAUGGGGGUUGCGCUCGUUGCGGGACUUAACCCAACACCUCACGGCACGAGCUGACGACGGCCAUGCAGCACCUUACUAUCGGCCCUUGCGGGAAACUAGCUUUCACUAGCGGUCCAAUAGCAUUCUAGCCCAGGUAAGGUUCCUCGCGUAUCAUCGAAUUAAUCCACAUAAUCCACCGCUUGUGCGGGUCCCCGUCAAUUCCUUUGAGUUUUAACCUUGCGACCGUACUCCCCAGGCGGUCGACUUCACGCGUUAGCUUCGUUACUGAGAGUGUCAAACCCCCAACAACCAGUCGACAUCGUUUAGGGCGUGGACUAC